rnacentral:rRNA from 1 species
GAUGAACGCUGGCGGCGUGCCUAAUACAUGCAAGUCGAGCGAACAGACUCGUAGCUUGCUCCCGUGACGUUAGCGACGGACUGGGGAGCAACACGUGGAUAAACUCCUUAUAAGACUGGGAUCACUUCUGGAAUACGGAGCUAAUACCGGAUCAUAUAUCGAACCGCAUGGUGCACUAGAUAAAGACGGGUUUGCUGUCACUUAUAGAUGGAUCCGCGCUGCAUUAGCUAGUUGGUAAGGUAACGGCUUACCAAGGCAACGAUGCGUAGCCGACCUGAGAGGGUGAUCGGCCACACUGGAACUGAGACACGGUCCAGACUCCUACGGGAGGCAGCAGUAGGGAAUCUUCCGCAAUGGGCGAAAGCCUGACGGAGCAACGCCGCGUGAGUGAUGAAGGUCCUCGGAUCGUAAAACUCUGUUAUAAGGGAAGAACAAGUGUGGAAGUAACUGGGCACGUCUUGACGGUACCUAGUCAGAAAGCCACGGCUAACUACGUG